UUUUCUCUUUAUUACCAGAUAAAAGAGAGAUUCUAAAAUCUUGUUCCAACUAUAACAUAGGUUACAAUAUAGAAACGGCUAAGAACAAGUGAUAUAUACAUGCAUCCAGUUGGGACAUUACAAAGAUCAACAAUCCAUUACACAAGCACUUCUGACCUAAAAUUGAAGAAAUGUUACCAGUGGUGCCAUACAACUGAGCAGUUUCCAAAGUACAUUGAAUGAAAUGAUUCUAUCCCAAAUAAGCCUCUUCAUAUCCUCAGUACAGUACUUGUACAGUGACUCCUAAAGUGAUUAAGAAAACGUUCACAGUGUACUUCAGAGAAAAGGGGAGAUAAGAAACAACAAGUAAAGGUUGUCUCUGUGAUGGGUUAUUAACAAGGCAUUUCCUCACUUUCAUGAGCUUAAAACCCUACAGUCCAUCCCAAGCAUAGGGCAGUGCAAAGUUGUAUCACCAGAUUAGGAGGAAGACAGAGGGACUACAUGAACAAUCUGGUUCCUUCUCUUAUCUUGCUCUAGUGAGGAGGCCGUAUGUGCCAAUAUAUAGAAGACACCAUUUUCUUCUGCUGUUAUAUUGACAGUGAAUUGGCCAACGCAGUGGAGAUGUAAAUCCAAGGCCUUCUCUACUACUUAUCUCUCCAUAUGCCACUAUUUUCCACCAAACCUAUACUUUUCUCAAAUAUAGUCUUUUCUUUACUGGUAUUUCUUUACUCUAAUGUUGUGUUAAUAUAGUGUCUGUAUUUAAUGUGUUUUAGUUAAAUAUACAUUAUCAUAAUAAGACUGUUGAAAAUGCACAUGCAGUAUUGCAGUCAUUAAGGACUGUAAAUGAAAGUUCA